GAUGAACGCUGGCGGCGUGCCUAACACAUGCAAGUCGAGCGAGGGUUUGCUCAGUAUUGAGUAUUCUAAGUCUAGAAUGUUCAAUUCUGAGCAAAACCAAGCGGCGGACGGGUGAGUAACGCGUGGGUAACCUGCCCUAUACACAUGGAUAACAUACUGAAAAGUUUACUAAUACAUGAUAAUAUAUAUUUGUGGCAUCGCAGAUAUAUCAAAGUGUUAGCGGUAUAGGAUGGACCCGCGUCUGAUUAGCUAGUUGGUGAGAUAACUGCCCACCAAGGCGACGAUCAGUAGCCGACCUGAGAGGGUGAUCGGCCACAUUGGAACUGAGACACGGUCCAAGCUCCUACGGGAGGCAGCAGUGGGGAAUAUUGCACAAUGGGCGAAAGCCUGAUGCAGCAACGCCGCGUGAACGAUGAAGGUCUUCGGAUCGUAAAGUUCUGUUGCAGGGGAAGAUAAUGACGGUACCCUGUGAGGAAGCCCGGCU
rnacentral:rRNA from 1 species